AUGAACGCUGGCGGCGUGCCUAAUACAUGCAAGUCGAACGAGUUCUGAUUAUUGAAAGGUGCUUGCAUCUUGAUUUAAUUUUGAACGAGUGGCGGACGGGUGAGUAACACGUGGGUAACCUGCCCUUAAGUGGGGGAUAACAUUUGGAAACAGAUGCUAAUACCGCAUAAAUCCAAGAACCGCAUGGUUCUUGGCUGAAAGAUGGCGUAAGCUAUCGCUUUUGGAUGGACCCGCGGCGUAUUAGCUAGUUGGUGAGGUAACGGCUCACCAAGGCAAUGAUACGUAGCCGAACUGAGAGGUUGAUCGGCCACAUUGGGACUGAGACACGGCCCAAACUCCUACGGGAGGCAGCAGUAGGGAAUCUUCCACAAUGGACGCAAGUCUGAUGGAGCAACGCCGCGUGAGUGAAGAAGGCUUUCGGGUCGUAAAACUCUGUUGUUGGAGAAGAAUGGUCGGCAGAGUAACUUUUGUCGGCGUGACGGUAUCCAACCAGAAAGCCACGGCUAACUACGUGCCAGCAGCCGCGGUAAUACGUAGGUGGCAAGCGUUAUCCGGAUUUAUUGGGCGUAAAGCGAGCGCAGGCGGUUUUUUAAGUCUGAUGUGAAAGCCCUCGGCUUAACCGAGGAAGUGCAUCGGAAACUGGGAAACUUGAGUGCAGAAGAGGACAGUGGAACUCCAUGUGUAGCGGUGAAAUGCGUAGAUAUAUGGAAGAACACCAGUGGCGAAGGCGGCUGUCUGGUCUGUAACUGACGCUGAGGCUCGAAAGCAUGGGUAGCGAACAGGAUUAGAUACCCUGGUAGUCCAUGCCGUAAACGAUGAAUGCUAGGUGUUGGAGGGUUUCCGCCCUUCAGUGCCGCAGCUAACGCAUUAAGCAUUCCGCCUGGGGAGUACGACCGCAAGGUUGAAACUCAAAGGAAUUGACGGGGGCCCGCACAAGCGGUGGAGCAUGUGGUUUAAUUCGAAGCAACGCGAAGAACCUUACCAGGUCUUGACAUCUUUUGAUCACCUGAGAGAUCAGGUUUCCCCUUCGGGGGCAAAAUGACAGGUGGUGCAUGGUUGUCGUCAGCUCGUGUCGUGAGAUGUUGGGUUAAGUCCCGCAACGAGCGCAACCCUUAUGACUAGUUGCCAGCAUUUAGUUGGGCACUCUAGUAAGACUGCCGGUGACAAACCGGAGGAAGGUGGGGAUGACGUCAAAUCAUCAUGCCCCUUAUGACCUGGGCUACACACGUGCUACAAUGGAUGGUACAACGAGUUGCGAGACCGCGAGGUCAAGCUAAUCUCUUAAAGCCAUUCUCAGUUCGGACUGUAGGCUGCAACUCGCCUACACGAAGUCGGAAUCGCUAGUAAUCGCGGAUCAGCACGCCGCGGUGAAUACGUUCCCGGGCCUUGUACACACCGCCCGUCACACCAUGAGAGUUUGUAACACCCGAAGCCGGUGGCGUAACCCUUUUAGGGAGCGAGCCGUCUAAGGUGGGACAAAUGAUUAGGGUG
rnacentral:rRNA from 1 species